rnacentral:rRNA from 1 species
GGAUUAGAUACCCUGGUAGUCCACGCUGUAAACGAUGAUAACUCGCUGUUGGCGAUAUACUGUCAGCGGCCAAGCGAAAGCGUUAAGUUAUCCACCUGGGGAGUACGAUCGCAAGGUUGAAACUCAAAGGAAUUGACGGGGGCCCGCACAAGCGGUGGAGCAUGUGGUUUAAUUCGAUGAUACGCGAGGAACCUUACCUGGGCUUAAAUGUAGAAUGACCGGCCGGGAAACCGGCCUUUCUUCGGACAAUUUACAAGGUGCUGCAUGGCUGUCGUCAGCUCGUGCCG